rnacentral:rRNA from 1 species
GACGAACGCUGGCGGCGUGCUUAACACAUGCAAGUCGAACGCUGAAGCCCUUCGGGGUGGAUGAGUGGCGAACGGGUGAGUAACACGUGGGCAACCUGCCCUGCACUCUGGGAUAACUUCGGGAAACCGGAGCUAAUACCGGAUAACAUCCUCCUCCGCAUGGUGGGGGGUUGAAAGUUCCGGCGGUGCAGGAUGGGCCCGCGGCCUAUCAGCUUGUUGGUGGGGUAGUGGCCUACCAAGGCGACGACGGGUAGCCGGCCUGAGAGGGCGACCGGCCACACUGGGACUGAGACACGGCCCAGACUCCUACGGGAGGCAGCAGUGGGGAAUAUUGCGCAAUGGGCGAAAGCCUGACGCAGCGACGCCGCGUGAGGGAUGACGGCCUUCGGGUUGUAAACCUCUUUCAGCAGGGAAGAAGCGGUCCGGUUCUCCGGGGCGUGACGGUACCUGCAGAAGAAGCACCGGCUAACUACGUGCCAGCCGCCGCGGUAACAC